rnacentral:lncRNA from 1 species
CAAAUUUUUUUUGACUUUUUUUUCUUCCUUGAAUCUGUACCCUGAACAAUGGUCCUGUAACUGGUGUACUCGUUCAUUCACGAUGUGUCCUUUUUAUGGUUUAUUAUGAUGCGGUUUCAAUUGUUCUGUUACUGCUUCAUUUGUGCAUAUAACAAUUGUUACGUUUUGGGAUUAGGGUUUAGGUUUCUGCCUCUUUUGUACCUACUCAAGGUAUGGAUUUGUCAUUUGUGUGGUUGAUAAUUCAUAAACUGUUUUGUAGAUGGAGAUGUGAAAUCAUAACAGCUAUUUCUGCAAUCAAUAUGUUUCAGCAGAUGAAGAAGAUAAGAAUAUUGCGGAGAACCUUAUUUGGGAAUGCUAUGAAGAUAUCUACUAUGGAAAACAGGAUGAGUUAA